AAUCUGCAAAUGCAAAAGAUUCUGAAUAUUUAUAUAUUUAAAGAUAUGUGCAAGUCAAUGGAAUAUGAGGUAUCUGUAUGGUACUUGUGCUGGAUUUGGACUGUGGGAGAUACUUUUAAGGAAACUGACCUAAACAACUAAUCCAGAAAUCAUAACUUAGCACAAUGAGCAACCAAGCCUCAUAAAGUCUACAAUAUACAGAUAUAAGGGACUUAAUUCAUAUUAGAAUUUGCAAAGACAAAGCAAUAUUUUGAAAUCUUGAACAACUGAGGUAAAAUUCACAGCAGGUUUACACAUUCCACUAAGCCAUGACAUGUUUUGCUUGAUUUUGGCAUACUUUAGUCUGUUGUCUGAACCCAGAGCUUGUGAUUGUAAAUCAUGGCUUAAUAUAUUGUACCAGCUCAAUUAACAAUGGUUUAUUCAUCAAAUCAUAGUUAACAAAUGCUAUAUAGGAACUUUAAACUAUUCUGGCUGUUAUUUUAUUACUGUAAUUAUUAUUCAAUUUUUAAUCUGAGGUGUAAUGUGGUAUAAGCCACUUAAGCAAAAUUUGGUUUUGAAGGGUGUCAUACAACCUUUGAAAAUGAACUAGAAGAUACCUGAACCCUCUGUUGUUCAAGAGAAACAAAUUUGAAAGAACAUAAACCUAUUUCUCUUUGCUCCGGCUGCUAUGCCUGCCGAGAUUCUUAGUAGUUAAUCACAGCUAUGUUAAAAUCUUGGAUUUCCUCAUCACUGUAUAUUGACCACUCUAAUUUCCUUUUCGAGCGAUUUUUAGCAAGUCUGCACUCUGGAUGCAGAAACAACCUAUGGCGAUGGCUCUGCCCUUUCUAUAUAUCGUAAGGAGCUACAAGAAAGAGAUACGUUUUCUGAAGCCAGUUUCAUUCUCUCAGCUUGUGAAGUAGAGCCAUAGGCAUUGCCCAUGGAAAACCCGAGGCUUAUCCUGCAACAUUACUCAGUAAGAUCCCGUAAAAGCUUCCUAUUAAUGUUCACCUCGAUGAUUGCCUACCCUUGCCUUAAGCUGGGGACAGUUCUCCAAGGGACCAAAUUCAGAGGGGUAGCAUUCGCUAUCCUCUUCUCUGCGGUACUCCUGUGUCUAACCGGGGAGAACAUUAUUCAGACGUCACCUACCGAGGAAUCUACCCACCUUCCUUGCUUCUCCACGAACACAGAAACGAGUAAAUCAAGAAAGACCGGAAAUGGGCGGGGAGCGGAUUGGCCACGCCUCUCGCGAGUGACGCAAUCAUUUCUUCCCGCCCCUCUUUAGCAGGUUUCGCGCUUGGCGGCUUCGCAUCCCUGUCAGUCCCGUCUUCGGCAGUGGAAGAGCAAGAUGGCGGCCCGGACAAUGCAAGCGGCAAGAUGUCCCACAGAUGAACUCUCCUUAACCAACUGUGCUGUGGUCAAUGAAAAAGACUUUCAGUCCGGCUUGCAUGUAGUUGUGAAGACCUCACCUAACCACAAAUACGUUUUUACACUGAGAAGUCAUGCCUCCGUUGUCCCAGGUAGCAUCGCUUUCAGUUUGCCACAGAGAAAAUGGGCUGGCCUUUCUAUUGGGCAAGAAAUAGAUGUUUCCUUGUAUAAUUUUGAUAAGACGAAGCAGUGUAUUGGCACUAUGACUAUUGAGAUAGAUUUCCUGCAGAAGAAAAAUAUUGACUCAAAUCCCUAUGACUCAGACAAAAUGGCGGCUGAGUUCAUCCAGCAAUUCAACAACCAAGCAUUUACAGUUGGACAGCAGCUUGUAUUUAGCUUUAAUGACAAACUUUUUGGCCUGUUGGUCAAGGACAUCGAAGCCAUGGAUCCUAGCAUUCUUAAAGGAGAAUCUGCCACAGGUAAAAAACAGAAGAUUGAAAUUGGUCUUGUUGUUGGAAAUAGUCAAGUUGCAUUUGAGAAGGCUGAGAGUUCUUCCCUCACUCUUAUUGGCAAAUCCAAAACUCGGGAAAAUCGUCAGUCUAUCAUCAACCCUGAUUGGAAUUUUGAGAAGAUGGGUAUUGGAGGUCUUGAUAAGGAAUUUUCUGAUAUCUUCCGGCGGGCAUUUGCCUCCCGAGUAUUCCCACCUGAGAUUGUGGAGCAAAUGGGCUGCAAACAUGUGAAAGGCAUCCUCUUAUAUGGCCCUCCUGGCUGUGGUAAGACGCUUAUGGCCAGGCAGAUUGGCAAAAUGCUGAAUGCCAGGGAGCCAAAAAUAGUGAAUGGGCCCGAAAUCCUCAACAAGUACGUCGGUGAAUCAGAGGCCAACAUUCGCAAGCUCUUUGCAGAUGCUGAAGAAGAACAGAAGAGGCUUGGGGCAAACAGUGGUGUUCACAUCAUCAUCUUUGAUGAAAUCGACGCUAUCUGCAAACAGCGAGGGAGUAUGGCAGGCAGCACCGGGGUCCAUGACACUGUUGUGAACCAGCUCUUGUCCAAAAUUGAUGGAGUUGAACAGUUGAACAACAUCUUGGUGAUUGGUAUGACCAAUAGGCCGGACCUGAUUGAUGAAGCACUCUUGCGACCUGGACGACUGGAAGUGAAAAUGGAAAUUGGCUUGCCUGAUGAAAAAGGUCGAAUACAGAUUCUCAACAUCCACACAUCAAGGAUGCGAACCCACCAGCUGCUGUCUUCAGAUGUUGAUAUUACAGAACUGGCUGUGGAGACCAAGAACUUUAGUGGUGCUGAACUUGAGGGUCUCGUUCGGGCGGCCCAGUCCACAGCUAUGAACAGACAUAUUAAGGCCAGCACUAAGGUGGAAGUUGAUAUGGAAAAAGCAGAAUCCCUACAGGUGACAAGGGGAGACUUUUUUGCUUCACUGGAGAAUGACAUUAAGCCGGCAUUUGGGACCAAUCAGGAGGAUUAUGCAAGCUAUAUUAUGAAUGGCAUUAUUAAAUGGGGUGACCCUGUUACUCGGGUGCUGGAUGAUGGGGAACUUCUUGUUCAGCAGGUCAAAAACAGUGACCGUACUCCCUUGGUCAGUGUUCUUUUGGAAGGUCCCCCACACAGUGGGAAGACAGCCUUAGCUGCAAAGAUUGCAGAAGAAUCUAAUUUCCCCUUCAUCAAGAUCUGCUCUCCUGAUAAGAUGAUUGGCUUUUCAGAAACUGCCAAGUGCCAGGCAAUUAAGAAGAUCUUUGAUGAUGCUUAUAAGUCUCAGCUCAGCUGUGUGGUGGUGGAUGACAUUGAACGGCUUCUUGAUUAUGUUCCAAUCGGGCCACGUUUCUCCAACCUAGUGCUGCAGGCCCUUCUGGUGCUAUUGAAAAAAACACCACCUAAUGGUCGCAAACUCUUGAUCAUUGGGACUACUAGUCGCAAGGAUGUCCUGCAGGAGAUGGAGAUGCUAGAUACUUUUAGCACUACUAUCCAUAUUCCCAACAUUGCUACGGGGGAUCAUCUCAUGGAUGCCCUGGAGCUCCUGAGCGGCUUCAAAGACAAGGAACGCAGCACCAUUGCUCAGAAUGUCAAAGGGAAGAAGGUCUGGAUUGGCAUCAAGAAGCUCCUGAUGUUAAUUGAGAUGUCAUUGCAGAUGGAUCCUGAGUACCGUGUGAGAAAAUUCCUGGCACUUCUACGAGAGGAAGGAGCUAGUCCACUGGAUUUAGAGUGAAGCCUGAACCUUGUUAAAAGCUGGUGGCCUGGAAAACAGCCAAGCAGGAGACUGCCCCUCUACGAUCUUCUUCCAUGUGGCACAUUUGGACAACUGCAUAAUGUUCAGUUCUCUUCAGAGACUCUCCUGAACUACUACUUUUUUUCUUUCUUUCUUUUUCUUUUUUUGCAUGUCAGACGCAACUAAGUACUCUACCCUUGUCUUUGAUAUCCUGGUGUAUUGUGGCAAAUCAAACCUCUUCUAGAGUAACUGCUUUGGUGUUAUGAUACAGUAACUGAUUGAUACUGGUGCACAAGCAGAGGAGUAGAAAUGUGCCAUGUACAGACCGAUAGACAUUAAUGCUGAAGCUCAGGCAUAACAUGUGGGAAAGUCUCUCCAUUCUUAGCCUACACCAAUCCAGUGUGAAAGCCAGUAACCAUUUGCACAGUUAUAAACACUUGGUGAUGGUUUCUCCCACCCCAGUCUUGUUAAGUAGUUGCUUGUUCUUGUAGAUUUGUCCCACAUUGUGGAGUUUCAGCCUCCUCUCAAGAAAAACAAAUGAUACCUGAGGUGUUUAGUGCUGCCUGUGGUUUCUGAUGAGCUAGGAUCCAGGAGCUGCUUUCUGCCUUGAUUUUAGGCAAGAUUAGCUGCUGUGCCCACAAGCCCUCAUCAGCAUUUGCAGUGGCUCAGUUAGCUGAUGUCCAAUAGAAUUUGACUGCCAGCUACAGAAGUGACAGUGAGAUGUCUGACAUACUUACACUAUGAACAGAUAGCAGGCUGCACCUGAUUCCCAUAACAUGUUGAGAAUAUUCUUCUACCUUUGGUCACAAUGGCCCUUACCUGCUACAAUCUGCCCUCUUUUAAGGGAAUGUUGCACAGAAUUACUUUAAGAGAUCAGCCCUGCCGCAGUCACAGUUUGUAUGUGUAGGAUGUUUGAGCUCAUGCUGGAUCUUUCUCCCACUGCCACUUCUCAGGUAGCUUACUGGCCCUUCAGUCAACUGUCCAGCAAUUAAUCUCAGGCACUGUGGUCUCUGCUGUUGGCCUCUUGCUUUGUAUAGUAGAAAUUAGGGGAAAGCUUAAUUGGCCUUUUCCAGAGGUAAUUUCCUGUGAUUUCUGCUGAGCGGUGCAGUAUUGAAUCAGAGAGAGCGAUAGGUUGCCGCUUGGGCAUGCUUGAUCACAUAUUUCUUAUCAUUCCACCCUUGUUUGGGGAAAAGCACGCUGACCAACUUCCUAAAGAAUGUAGUACGUACUUAAAUUAGAACCAGUCUGCCAUUGCACCUAUCCCUAUGCUAAGUAUAUCACACCUUAUUCUUGCCCAUCACAAUUAUGAGUUUGUUCACAACUCUUGCCAGUGGGAGUUGUCUAGCGUGGGGAGUGAGGAAACUACAGGAGGAGUAGGAUGCAGCUGGGAUUAAAGUCUUCUAAAUUGGGGAACCCUGUUCUAAAUAACCAGAAAGAGAAGGAAACCAAAUGCAUGGAUGUCAUUCCCUCUUGCCAUGAAAUACUUAUCAGCUCUUAAGCUCUUUUUAGGAAAAGCUGUGCAUUGCAUGGCCCUAAAAAUUAAAUCCACUUACCCACAUUCAACAAAAGUGGCUGGGCUACUCUUGCUAAAUCUUUUUCCAUUAUUGGCACAGUUUCCUUUCCCUGUUUCUCCAAGUUGCUAAAUUUGGAACAAUGAAAACAGCACUUGACAUCUUCCAACCUUGUGCAGGAAAAGACAGACUGCAGUAUUAGAAACUGCUGUAGUGUACUUGAACCAUAAUGGAUAUUUCUUUUACUGUGUAUUAGCAUUGUCUCUGACUCGUAUUUAUUUAUUUUAUGCUGUGGAGGAUUAUAUGAAUGACUGGUGGACAUGUAAGAGUCCCACUUUUUGUAGGUGCUAUGAUUGAACUGCUUUCAGCUGAACUUUUCUCUCUGCUGCCCUCCCAGACCCAAACCCAAUACCUUUCCCCCUUCUUUCCCCCCAUUUUUCACUGAAAGCAAAGCAUACAUAUUGUAUUGUCUUGGAUCAAAUGAUAUAAACAUUUUUAUUGUGUUUUUUUUUGUCCAAAGCUAUACUGAGAAAGAAAAAUACAAAUAUAUAUAUAUAUAUUUAAAAAGAUUGAUUGUAUGGUUAAAAUGCAGGAUGCAAUAAAAAAGGCACAGAUGUUUAAAAUGUAUCGUUGGUUUCUGAAUUGAGAUGACACGACAAGUGAAUUAGUAGCUCUCUUGAAAGACUUGCACAAAAAUGUCAGUUUCAAAGGAAUAAGCUUUCUUCAGCAGCUCAUAGACUAAUACAUAUUAGGGGAUACCUUUGGGCUGUGAUGGAGUUGGGUGCUAGGCACAAGAAAACAAAAGUUUCACAAGGUUUAACUUCUGGCCAAGGUUGGC